rnacentral:rRNA from 1 species
AACGAACGCUGGCGGCAGGCUUAACACAUGCAAGUCGAGCGAGACCUUCGGGUCUAGCGGCGGACGGGUGAGUAACGCGUGGGAACGUGCCCUUCUCUACGGAAUAGUCCCGGUAAACUGGGAGUAAUACCGUAUACGCCCUUCGGGGGAAAGAUUCAUCGUAGAAGGAUCGGCCCGCGUUGGAUUAGGUAGUUGGUGGGGUAAUGGCCCACCAAGCCGACGAUCCAUAGCUGGUUUGAGAGGAUGAUCAGCCACACUGGGACUGAGACACGGCCCAGACUCCUACGGGAGGCAGCAGUGGGGAAUCUUAGACAAUGGGGGCAACCCUGAUCUAGCCAUGCCGCGUGAGUGAUGAAGGCCUUAGGGUUGUAAAGCUCUUUCAGCUGGGAAGAUAAUGACGGUACCAGCAGAAGAAGCCCCGGCUAACUCCGUG